CCUACGGGUGGCUGCAGUGGGGAAUUUUGCGCAAUGGGCGAAAGCCUGACGCAGCAACGCCGCGUGGGUGAUGAAGGUCUUCGGAUCGUAAAACCCUGUCGUCAGGGACGAAGGUUGCAUGUCGAAUAGAUGUGCAGCUUGACGGUACCUGGAGAGGAAGCCCCGGCUAACUCUGUGCCAGCAGCCGCGGUAAUACAGAGGGGGCAAGCGUUAUUCGGAAUUCGUGGGCGUAAAGGGCGAAUUGAGGUGUGUAAUCCCCGAGCUUAACUUGGGAACUGCAUCUCAGACUGUGUCGCUAGAGUACUGGAGAGGGUGGUAGAAUUCCACGUGUAGCGGUGAAAUGCGUAGAGAUGUGGAGGAAUACCAGUGGCGAAGGCGGCCACCUGGACAGUAACUGACGCUGAGGCGCGAAAGUGUGGGGAGCAAACAGGAUUAGAUACCCCUGUAGUC
rnacentral:rRNA from 1 species